UACGUAGGCAGCGAGCGUUGUUCGGAAUUACUGGGCGUAAAGAGUGUGUAGGCGGUGUUCUAAGUCUGUUGUGAAAUCUCCCGGCUCAACUGGGAGGGUGCAGCGGAAACUGGAAUGCUAGAGUGUGGGAGAGGUAAGCGGAAUUCCUGGUGUAGCGGUGAAAUGCGUAGAUAUCAGGAGGAACACCCGUGGCGAAGGCGGCUCUCUGGGACGGUACUGACGCUGAGACGCGAAAGCGUGGGGAGCGAACAGG
rnacentral:rRNA from 1 species